GUGUCAGCAGCCGCGGUAAUACGUAGGGAGCAAGCGUUGUUCGGAUUUACUGGGCGUAAAGGGCGCGUAGGCGGCCUGUCAAGUCAACUGUGAAAUCUCCGGGCUUAACUCGGAACGGUCAGUUGAUACUGUCAGGCUAGAGUGCAGAAGGGGCAAUCGGAAUUCUUGGUGUAGCGGUGAAAUGCGUAGAUAUCAAGAGGAACACCUGAGGUGAAGACGGGUUGCUGGGCUGACACUGACGCUGAGGCGCGAAAGCCAGGGGAGCAAACGGGAUUAGAAACCCUUGUAGUCC
rnacentral:rRNA from 1 species